AACGAACGCUGGCGGCAGGCCUAACACAUGCAAGUUGAACGAGAAACCCCUUCGGGGGCAGACAGUAGCGCACGGGUGAGUAACACGUGGGAAUGUACACUAGGGUACGGAACAACGUUUGGAAACGAACGCUAAUACCGUAUAAUGACUCCGGUCCAAAGAUUUAUCGCCCUAGGAUCAGCCCGCGUCUGAUUAGCUAGUUGGUAGGGUAAAGGCCUACCAAGGCAACGAUCAGUAGCUGGUUUGAGAGGAUGAUCAGCCACACUGGGACUGAGACACGGCCCAGACUCCUACGGGAGGCAGCAGUGAGGAAUAUUGGACAAUGGGCGAAAGCCUGAUCCAGCCAUGCCGCGUGAGUGAAGAAGGCCCUAGGGUUGUAAAGCUCUUUCAAUCGUGAAGAUAAUGACGGUAGCGAUAGAAGAAGCUCCGGCUAACUCCG
rnacentral:rRNA from 1 species